rnacentral:rRNA from 1 species
AACCGAUCUUAGCUAGCUAGCUACACAUGCAGUCGAGGGGCAGCAUGGUCUUAGCUUGCUAAGGCCGAUGGCGACCGGCGCACGGGUGAGUAACACGUAUCCAACCUGCCGUCUACUCUUGGACAGCCUUCUGAAAGGAAGAUUAAUACAAGAUGGCAUCAUGAGUCCGCAUGUUCACAUGAUUAAAGGUAUUCCGGUAGACGAUGGGGAUGCGUUCCAUUAGAUAGUAGGCGGGGUAACGGCCCACCUAGUCUUCGAUGGAUAGGGGUUCUGAGAGGAAGGUCCCCCACAUUGGAACUGAGACACGGUCCAAACUCCUACGGGAGGCAGCAGUGAGGAAUAUUGGUCAAUGGGCGAGAGCCUGAACCAGCCAAGUAGCGUGAAGGAUGACUGCCCUAUGGGUUGUAAACUUCUUUUAUAAAGGAAUAAAGUCGGGUAUGGAUACCCGUUUGCAUGUACUUUAUGAAUAAGGAUCGGCUAACUCCGUGCCAGCA